rnacentral:rRNA from 1 species
UUUUAUGGAGAGUUUGAUCCUGGCUCAGGAUGAACGCUGGCGGCGUGCCUAAUACAUGCAAGUCGAGCGAACAGACGAGGAGCUUGCUCCUCUGACGUUAGCGGCGGACGGGUGAGUAACACGUGGAUAACCUACCUAUAAGACUGGGAUAACUUCGGGAAACCGGAGCUAAUACCGGAUAAUAUAUUGAACCGCAUGGUUCAAUAGUGAAAGACGGUUUUGCUGUCACUUAUAGAUGGAUCCGCGCCGCAUUAGCUAGUUGGUAAGGUAACGGCUUACCAAGGCACAGAUGCGUAGCC